UGCAGCUGUUGUUUGUUCCUCAGAGCAGCCCCCACUUCGCCCUCUUGGAAGCUCUGGUGGAAAUGGGGCUUCUCUCAUUCUAAUGUCUGUUCUUGAGACCGCAACAGAGCUAUUGAAUGAGCUUCAAGAUGCUAGCAGCUAUAAUAUGACAAAUCGAGCACUUUGGAAGGCCUCAUUUGAUGAGUUUUUUGGACUUCUUAUAAAGUAUUGUGUAAAUAAAUAUGAUAGUAUUAUGCAUUCUUCUCUACAAGAUCCAGCUGAAGCUAUUAAGAGAGAACUACCUAUGGAGCUCCUUCGUGUCAGUGUUCCCCACACAAACGACUACCAGAAAAAGAUGUUAUAUGAUCUUUCCCAGCGUUCCCUAGUUGGUCAAGAUGGUGGCAAUGGUGGUCACAUGAAUUCUUAAUUAGUGUUGAGUUGGUACAAGGCUACAAGAAAAUAUGAUGGAAUUUAAAAGCCAUUAGUCCUGAGAUGGUGCUGAGUUCUGAAAGAGUGAAUAUAAAAGAGACUAUUGGACCAGCAAUGUUCUUGGGUAUUUGUUUUUAAUUUGUGUCUGCACACCAUGUGUAAUUAGGAUUACAUGGUGUGAAUGAUGCAGAAGCUUUGGAACAACCUAUUGCAAAUUCUGUUUAGUUCUUUCAGAUUUUAGCAUAUUUUAGUCAUUUUCACUCAAUUUCCUUGGCUAAACCUGUAACCGGGCUGUGUUGUAUUGCGGUAGAAAUCUGUUGGGUUUUUCCAUUCCUUUGAGAAUU
rnacentral:misc_RNA from 1 species